AGCAUAUUUUGCCCAGGCGGAGCUCGACCGCCCGUUCCGCAAAUGGUGAGUUUCAUAGAAGAUCACCGUGAUGUUUUUGGUGUCGGGCCGGUUUGCAGGGUUUUGCCAAUCGCACCA
rfam:Marinosulfonomonas sp. PRT-SC04 contig_12464, whole genome shotgun sequence.